CUACCACAUCCAAGGAAGGCAGCAGGCGCGCAAAUUACCCACUCCCGGCACGGGGAGGUAGUGACGAAAAAUAACGAUACGGGACUCUUUUGAGACCCCGUAAUCGGAAUGAGAACGGUCCAAAACCUCUAACGAGGACCCAUUGGAGGGCAAGCCUGGUGCCAGCAGCCGCGGUAACUCCAGCUCCAAUAGCGUAUAUUAAAGUUGUUGCGGUUAAAAAGCUCGUAGUUGGAUCUCAGUUCCGGUCGGGGGAUCCGUCUUCCGACGGCCAUCUCCCGGACCGAACAGCCGGCCGGUCUCCCUCGAUGAUCUUCAUCGGUUGUCUCGGGUUGACCGGCGAGUUUACUUUGAAAAAAUUAGAGUGCUCAAAGCAGGCUCCAGAAGCCUGGAUAAUGGUGCAUGGAAUAAUGGAAUAGGACCUCGGUUCUAUUUUGUUGGUUUUAGGAUCACGAGGUAAUGAUUAAGAGGGACAGACGGGGGCAUUCGUAUUGCGGCGCUAGAGGUGAAAUUCUUGGACCGCCGCAAGACGAACGACAGCGAAAGCAUUUGCCAAGAAUGUUUCCAUUAAUCAAGAACGAAAGUCAGAGGCUCGAAGGCGAUCAGAUACCGCCCUAGUUCUGACCAUAAACGAUGCCAGCCAGCGAUCCGGCUGCGUUCCUCAAAUGACGCGCCGGGCAGCUUCCGGGAAACCAAAGCUUUUGGGUUCCGGGGGAAGUAUGGUU
rnacentral:rRNA from 1 species